CAGUAGCCGCGGUAAUACGUAGGGUGCAAGCGUUAAUCGGAAUUACUGGGCGUAAAGCGUGCGCAGGCGGUUAUAUAAGACAGAUGUGAAAUCCCCGGGCUUAACCUGGGAACUGCAUUUGUGACUGUAUAGCUAGAGUACGGCAGAGGGGGAUGGAAUUCCGCGUGUAGCAGUGAAAUGCGUAGAUAUGCGGAGGAACACCGAUGGCGAAGGCAAUCCCCUGGGCCUGUACUGACGCUCAUGCACGAAAGCGUGGGGAGCAAACAGGAUUAGAUACCCGCGUAGUCCCUGUCUCUUAUAC
rnacentral:rRNA from 1 species